CUACUUGUGCAUGUGAGAGUUUGGACUGAGAAAGCGUUAAUUGCACUACGCCCGUAGAAACUUUGAAGCAGUGCUAGAGGACCCGGGUUCGAUUCCCGGCACCUCCACUU
rnacentral:tmRNA from 1 species